rnacentral:rRNA from 1 species
UUGUCCUUAGUUACCAGCACGUUAUGGUGGGCACUCUAAGGAGACUGCCGGUGACAAACCGGAGGAAGGGUGGGGAUGACGUCAAGUCAUCAUGGCCCUUACGGCCGUGGGCUACACACGUGCUACAAUGGUCGGUACAAAGGGUUGCCAAGCCGCGAGGUGGAGCUAAUCCCAUAAAACCGAUCGUAGUCCGGAUCGCAGUCUGCAACUCGACUGCGUGAAGUCGGAAUCGCUAGUAAUCGUGAAUCAGAAUGUCACGGUGAAUACGUUCCGGGCCUU